GGCUCCUGAGCUGGGCACGGCCAGCCGAGGGCUCCUGCCGCCGGGCACGGCGAGCUCCGCCUGCACCGAGCGAGGCCCGGGCAGCGGGAGUGUUCUGCACGUUGCCGCCAAAACGAGCGGCGGUGCCGGCCCGUCCCAGCGCGCAGAGCUGCCCCAGAGGGGUCCGCGGCGCCGCUGAUGAGAGCUGUGCAUAAAGCUGCGUAUUUUGGGAGAAAUCGCAGCGUUUAUCUCCUCUCUGCAUUUUAGCAAGGUAACUUUGCGGUCAGGCUCGACAAGCCUUUGUGCUCGGCUCUCCCACCGGUGAGAGGUGCGGGUGAGUGGGGAGGGCACGGGGCACCGGGAACAGAACCUGACUGCGAACCCGCCAGCAAACCCAGCGUGUCCCCCCUGCACACACAGCACAGGCAGGCUUAGGCACAGCCCAGCUCCAGCUUGCAGCGCAUGUGGGAACCAGCACACGAGCGAGAUUGAAGAAUGUGACAAAAGCAGAGUUAUCUCUAGUUGCAAAACAGCGAAGGACAUACCACUCUAGCUGGAAGUCGGCGGAGACAAAAGCACCAUAAAGCAGAAGCGCCUGAAGUGAUAUGUGUAAUAUAAACUGACUGCUGGUUUUGUGAUUUUUAUUCCUGUGAAGCUGGAAGCUCCAGUUAUGGGCAGAGCAGAGGCUGGUGCUCCGUGAAAGAGACAAAGGCAUUUCUUGCCACUGAGAACUGACUGCAUAAAAUCCUCUCUCUGAAUUAGGGAUGUGCUGUGCUCUGCUGUGUUGUUGAUCAGUGAAUAUACAGUUAGUCUAACAACUGACUCGCUAUACAUGCAGUGACUGGCUGUAAGUACUGGUCAUUUGCCUGCUGAGCUGACUGCCAGAUGUUUGGCAACCCCAGACAAAAGAUGGAGUUAUGCCUUAAGCACCCGGCCACAAACUCUGUGUGGAGGAAAGAAAACAUCUCUGAGGAUGUGCAGAAGUGUUACAGGAGCUGCAGGUAAAAGCAAACUGAGGAAGAGUGCACUGGCCUGGUUUGUGCAAAGUACAGAAUUUGCCUUAUGCUGGGGUGCCCAUCACUUCUCCUUUUUGGCUACAGACGAAGCUACACAUCUCCAUUGAAGGCAUAAAGCUGCUCUGAAAGUCUGAAUCUGGCUUUCCUCCCACGUUCAUUUCUGACAUUUCAGAGGGACAGAGUUGGUACAAAUCCCACGUUCAGAAGUGUCAUUAAACAUCUACUGUCUUUCUUACAAUACAUCAGUCUCUCUGACUCCCAGCCCCCAAAUUUUAUGAAGGAAAAAAAAGUCUGAAAGUUUAGAGAUGCUGAACAGUCCCCAGGAUCUGGCAGCAUGACUGUGGUCUCCCAAAGGAAGGAUUAUUUCAGAGGCAACUGCUGGCUGCCUCUCUGGACCUUUGCUCCUUGGUUAUGCUGUGUGCAGAAACCAUGAGGGCUCCCUCCCAUGAGGAAAUGAUCCCUUACUUGUUCUUCUCCCAGCACAGAAAAAGCCAUCCUAUUACCACACCCCACUCACUGAAUCCCUCUUUAGCUUAGAGCUCACAGAAUUAUCAUCUCACUAAUCAGACACAUUUUAACUGCACUCAAAUUGCAUCUGCCAAAAUCCAGUUUUGGUGACUAAGAGCAUUAAAAAAAAAAAUCUCUAACUUUUCUUUGCUCCAGCCCAAUCCUGACUCAAAACACUAAUCCCCUUUGUGCCUUUCCUCCAGAGCCAGUCCCAACCUGCAGCCCCUUCUGUCUGGUAAAAAACAUCUGCAAGCUUCACUUAAAAAGCAGCAAAAACCCCUGUGAGAGCAGAUUUGAAAGGAGAGGCUUUUGCUUCUGUCCCAUGGCAGGGUUGGUGCAGGGAGCUGGAGACAGGGCCUGCCUUGGGAGCAGGGCAAGAAGAGCUCCUGUGCCCUUUAGGGAUGUCACAGUGUCCCCCUCCUGCCCCUCUUACAGCCCUUCUGAGAGACAAGGGUGGUGUAAAACCACUGUGGGAUUAACCAUUCCCCCUCCUGGGAAGAGUUUUUAUCAGUCUGCACAAAAAUUUAGCAGUUCUUAAAAAAACCCAAACAAACCAAUCAAACCCUAGAGAAAAAGCUAAUUCUCAAACAUUAUACAGCUGAAAAUGGUGUCACAAAAGAACAAACAUUUUGAAGAAGAAAUAAAAACAAUUUUGAUUUCCA